AGAAUCAACGCUGGCGGCGUGCCUAACACAUGCAAGUCGAACGAGAAAGUGGAGCAAUCCAUGAGUAAAGUGGCGACCGGGUGAGUAACACGUGACUAACCUACCUUCAAGUGGGGGAUAACCUCGGGAAACCGUGGCUAAUACCGCAUAACAUCUUUGGAGUGGAAAUUCUGGAGAUCAAAGGAGCAAUUCGCUGGAAGAGGGGGUCGCGGCUGAUUAGCUAGUUGGCGGGGUAAUGGCCCACCAAGGCGAAGAUCGGUAGCCGGCCUGAGAGGGCGCGACGGACCGACGACCUGGAACUGAAACACGGUCCAGACUCCUACGGAGGCAGCAGUGGGGAAUUUUGCGCAAUGGGGGAAACCCUGACGCAGCAACGCCGCGUGGAGGAUGAAGUCCCUUGGACGUAAACUCCUUUCGACCAGACGAUAAUGACGGUACUGGUGGAAGAAGCACCGGCUAACUCUGUGCCAGCAGCCGC
rnacentral:rRNA from 1 species